rnacentral:rRNA from 1 species
GGGCGUAAGCCUGAUGCAGCGACGCCGCGUGAGGGAUGACGGCCUUCGGGUUGUAAACCUCUCACGACAGGGACGAAGCGCAAGUGACGGUACCUGUAGAAGAAGCACCGGCCAACUACGUGCCAGCAGCCGCGGUAAUACGUAGGGUGCGAGCGUUGUCCGGAAUUACUGGGCGUAAAGAGCUUGUAGGCGGUUCGUCGCGUCGUUCGUGAAAACUUGGGGCUCAACCCCAAGCUUGCGGGCGAUACGGGCGGACUAGAGUACUUCAGGGGAGACUGGAAUUCCUGGUGUAGCGGUGAAAUGCGCAGAUAUCAGGAGGAACACCGGUGGCGAAGGCGGGUCUCUGGGAAGUAACUGACGCUGAGAAGCGAAAGCGUGGGUAGCGAACAGGAUUAGAUACCCUGGUAGUCCACGCCGUAAACGGUGGGUACUAGGUGUGGGUUUCCUUCCACGGGAUCCGUGCCGUAGCUAACGCAUUAAGUACCCCGCCUGGGGAGUACGGCCGCAAGGCUAAAACUC